AUUGAACGCUGGCGGCAUGCCUUACACAUGCAAGUCGAACGGUAACAGGUCUUCGGAUGCUGACGAGUGGCGAACGGGUGAGUAAUACAUCGGAACGUGCCUAGUAGUGGGGGAUAACUACUCGAAAGAGUGGCUAAUACCGCAUGAGAUCUACGGAUGAAAGCAGGGGAUCGCAAGACCUUGUGCUACUAGAGCGGCCGAUGGCAGAUUAGGUAGUUGGUGGGAUAAAAGCUUACCAAGCCGACGAUCUGUAGCUGGUCUGAGAGGACGAUCAGCCAGACUGGGACUGGGAAACGGCCCAGACUCCUACGGGAGGCAGCAGUGGGGAAUUUUGGACAAUGGGCGCAAGCCUGUUCCAGCAAUGCCGCGUGCAGGAUGAAGGCCUUCGGGUUGUAAACUGCUUUUGUACGGAACGAGAAGCCCCGGGUUAAUACCCUGGGGUCAUGACGGUACCGUAAGAAUAAGCACCGGCUAACUACGUGCCAGCCGCCGCGGUAA
rnacentral:rRNA from 1 species